CAUCAUUCAUUUCAAUGGCAGCGUUCAACCGUCUUCUGAAACGUGCGGCGAUCAUUCUCUUGCUAGCCGCCGCAAAUCUCUUCGCGGUGUCCAACGGCCAACUGACAUUUUCCUCAGGUUGGGGAAAACGUUCCGGGAACGAUGACGAAAUAACAAUAAACCUGGAUGAUCAGCUGCAGUAAGAUGAGAUCCCCGACGACAAUGGCCGAACGCAAAUGCUACCAUAAAUAAUUUAUGUUGCCAGUAUCGUUUGCUUUUAUCUUUAUGGAAGUAUUGAUGAUGUAGAAACUUUAUUUUAUCUAGCUUCUUCACAGCCCAAGAAUCUAUAAUAGGGAUAUAAGUAAUAACAUCUAAAACAAUAUGAAAUCUGUAAUGUAUUUUUAAAUCUACGAAAAGCUAUGGUUUGUUUCAUUUUUGUCAUUUAAUCGCACCGACUAUUGUUUUCUAAAUAUUAUUUUGUGGUUUUGAAAUGUAUGUAUUUUAUGUGAUAGUUUAUCGUGCAUAAGAAAAGACGUCAGUGCAUUUUUAAGUUGUGACAUCCCAUCGCUUCUUCGUAUUCGAAAUAAUACUCUAAACUACAUAAUAUAAGUCUGGAUAACAGUUAACAACCCAAACAGAGAACCAAAGGACGGAGAUAAAAAUGAGCAAAAUUUUAAAUCAAUAUGACUGCUAUUUGAUGGAUAUAAUAUCUAUGUUUACAAUCCGUAGUUUAAAAUAGACAUUGAAAACACAGCUACAUCGAGACAUGUAGAAUAAAAUAUAUUAGCAUCGCAGCAUUUGGGUUUCAUUUAUUCCUUUGUAGAAUUAUUAACACAUUUUCGAAAACAAAUAAAUAAUUUAAAGUACAUAGCAUAAUUUCAAUUUAGAUAAAAUGCAGUUUUAAAUUACCUGAAAAACUCGUUAACUUUCAAUAAAACUAAUGCCAGUUUCCUUGCUAUUACAUAAUAGGAGUUUAGUUUAUAUUCAUGUUGUAUGUAAAUUCUUUAAAAUUACAUGAUUUUGGAAGAGUUGCAUGACAUUAUGCCGAUUGUAAGAUAAACGCUCCGAAGUAAUACACAACUAUAAACAAUGAACAUCGGUUCUAGCUAUCAUUAGUCGACCAAACACAAUGAAGAGAAGAAUCUUAGAAUCGAAAUUAAAUCUCUUGCCGUGUUCUUAUAGAUUUGAGUACAACAUGAAUGUUUUACAAUUAUCUCUAUUUAUAGUGCAUAACUUUAACACUUUUCUUGUACCUAGUUAAUAAUGAACAAAGAUGUUCAAUUAUACUCUAAUUUACUAAUUUUUAAAUUGCUGUGUUGAUCUAACGCCACGUGUUCACGUGUUAGAAUCUAUGUACACAUAAUUAUGAAAUGAUAAGUGUAACUCAAUGAUCUUAUUCUACAUUAAUUACGUUACUCCGUUCAUGCGCUGGCCAUCUCAGAUUUUUUACAAAUGUUCUCAGAUAAUUUACAUGAAGCCAUCCCAUUAUUCCAUAUAAUAAAAAGGAAUAGUAUUGUGAAUAUUGUUGACUUUGCAUAAGUUUAUCUGUUUACAAUAUCCGCCGCUGUAGUGUCUUUGGUGUAGGUGUGUGUCUCAGAUUAUCUUAUUAAAUGGCUAAACGAGAUGCUUGGCAUUAAUGUAAAAUAUCUAGGAAUAUUUAUGUAUCAUAUUCUCACUCCAAUAAUUAACGUAAUCUAAGCAGACUCUCUUAUAGCAAUGUAGUGUUCAUUUCUGAAACCCUACAAUAUGUACAGAUGUACGUAGUGCUGAUAUAAUAAUUACAAUCAAAUCGUUGGAAUUAUUUUUAUUUUAUAAGAGAGUCAACUUUUAGCAUCAUGUGGCACAUGAUGCCAAACGUUUGUACAUUCUCCAGGCAUACACAAAGUAGUCUCUAAAAUCUAAGGAAGUCUGUAGCAGGUAUGUAAUUUGCAAAGUUGGAAACGGAGUAGGAACUGAAUAAAAUGAAUUUUCGCAAAUUAUACCACGAACCGGAAAGAGACGCCGAAAUGUAUGAAUAUAAAAAAUUAAAUAUAGAAAAUAACGCCUCCCCAAAAGCAACUUUGGAGGUAUGGCAACCCUCACACGGUCUUUCGUACGCACAUUUGUCUAUGGUUUACCAAAGACAAAUAGUUGAACGAAAGAUCGAAAAUAAAAAUGAAAUAAACGGCACACUCUAACUAUUUACAACCGAGAAGCUUUAUGGAUACCAUAUCAGGCAUAGUUUCUUUUGGGGGAAUAAAAUGGAUUUGAAUAUUUUUAAAGUCCGUUUCCGACUAAACAACGCUUAUAAUAGCUUAACUAUAUGCACAUCCUAGGAUAUUUGUACUUGUAAUGUCUUAACCGAAGACCAACUUGAAACUUUUGCCAAUGUAUAUUUAUCACGUUCAAAAUUAAAUAAAAACACAAUUGAAGGCUAUUCACAAAAACAACUAAUAUUUUUCCAAAUGUAAGGUUAAAAAAUAUUAAAAUUCUUAAAUAUAAAGGCACUUUAUCAUAAUAUAUAAAUUAUAUGACUGAAACUUAUUCAACUUAAACCAGUUUAAAGAAAAAAAAA
rnacentral:lncRNA from 1 species